AUACGUAGGUGGCAAGCGUUGUCCGGAAUUAUUGGGCGUAAAGCGCGCGCAGGUGGUUCCUUAAGUCUGAUGUGAAAGCCCCCGGCUCAACCGGGGAGGGUCAUUGGAAACUGGGGAACUUGAGUGCAGAAGAGGAUAGUGGAAUUCCAAGUGUAGCGGUGAAAUGCGUAGAGAUUUGGAGGAACACCAGUGGCGAAGGCGACUGUCUGGUCUGUAACUGACACUGAGGCUCGAAAGCGUGGGGAGCAAACAGGAUUAGAUACCCUGGUAGUCCACGCCGUAAACGAUGAGUGCUAAGUGUUGGGGGGUUUCCGCCCCUCAGUGCUGCAGCUAACGCAUUAAGCACUCCGCCUGGGGAGUACGGUCGCAAGACUGAAACUCAAAUGAAUUGGCGGGG
rnacentral:rRNA from 1 species